rnacentral:rRNA from 1 species
UACGUAGGGUGCAAGCGUUAAUCGGAAUUACUGGGCGUAAAGCGUGCGCAGGCGGUUCGCUAAGACAGAUGUGAAAUCCCCGGGCUUAACCUGGGAACUGCAUUUGUGACUGGCGGGCUAGAGUAUGGCAGAGGGGGGUAGAAUUCCACGUGUAGCAGUGAAAUGCGUAGAAAUGUGGAGGAAUACCGAUGGCGAAGGCAGCCCCCUGGGCCAAUACUGACGCUCAUGCACGAAAGCGUGGGGAGCAAACAGG